UCUUUCUGUCAGGAUCUGCGGGGCGACUGCAGAGCUCCCCCCAGGCAGGCUGCCCUGGUUACCUGUGUGCGAGCUUCAGGGCAGAGGGGGAGAGGGGCACGAGCUGCCCCCAAACCGGGGGCGGGGGAGGAGGGCGGGCGAAGGGCUGAAGGAGACGCAAGCCGACUGUAAAUGCGAGAAUAAAACGAAGAGGAGCAGCUCGCCGAGUGGCUUCGGGGGCGUGCGGCUGGCCCGCUCAGAGCCGAGCAACAGCCAGCCGAGCCGCGACGCGAAGGCCGCUCAGGCCCCGGCCGCUCUGCCCAGCAGGGCAAAGACAACGGCUGAAAACUUUCUUUGGCAACCAGGAGACGAGCCCCUGACUACAAAGGGACGUGGAGGGAUGAGUAACCAAUGCAGAUGGUUUUAGCGUCAUGAAUCGUCCAGAAUCUGCUGAUUUGUGGGAGAGAAACCUCCGGCCACUUCCCCAGGAAGAAGGGGAAGCCCCUGAACCUGAAUGAAAGACUGCAUCAGAAAUUCCACCACUGCAGAUGGAAUUUCCUACAUGGAAAUAACCUGGGCACGGGAUGGCGUGGCCCUAUGUUAUCUAGCAAGGUAAUACAAAACUGAGUCACUGUAAAUUGGUGUCUAUCAGCAGUGACAGAUUCAUUAUGAUGUCAUCAUUGGGCUUCCAACAUAAAAUCAACAUAACUUAGGACAGUGGCAAGAAGAAUCCUCGCUCUCUGCAGACUUCCAAGUCCUGGAGAAUAGUGAGCAGAGAACAUGCUACAGCAGUGCAGGCUUCAUGGAUCAUCCUCACAGCUACGUUAUGUACCUGCAAUUUCCUCCAAAAUGGCAUUUAUGCUGUUCAUAACAUGCACAACUGAGCAACCAGAAAGCUGUAAAUAUCACUGCUGCAGGAGCAUAUUUUGCACUAAUAAGGGACUGUCCAGUUUGGCCGAUGUACAUAGCAGAGGGGCAUUGCUGGCACAUGAUGGCAUAUAUUACAUUGGUGAAUGUGCAGGUGAAUGAACCGGUGAUGGCGUGGCUGAUCUGGUUAGGUCCUGUGAUGGUGUCGCUGGUGUAGAUAUGUGGGCAGAAUUGGCAUCAAGGUUUGUUGCAUGGAUUGAUUCCUGAGUUAGAGUUACUAUGGUGCGGUGUGUAGUUGCUGGUGAGAAUAUGCUUCAGGUUGGCGGGUUGUUUGUGGGCGAGGACUGGCCUGCCUCCCAAGGCCUGUGAAAGUGAGGGAUCGUUGUCCAGGAUGGGUUGUAGACCAAACAUUAUAAUCAAAGAGGCUGAUAAAGGAGGUGCUGUUUUCAUCAUGAACAGGUCUGACAUUCACCUGCACGUCAGUUAGUCUAUAAGGUGCCACAGGACUCUUUGCCGCUUAUGUAUUUCAAGAGAUUCAUUACAUGGUGCCCAACUUCUAAAAAUUCAGCCUUAAAAACAACUUUUAAAGAAGAUAUUGCAAUUAUGAAUAAUAGCAGGGAAAUAUGAAAUGGAAAAUUAGGAGUUUAAGUACUAAUUACAGUUUGUUUAUUUUUCCAUUUGGUUUGGCAAUUCUGACUAUCUUUCACUGUACAAUAUCUGAGGUCAAUUAGGAUUCAGCUGAUCUUGGAGUCAGUUGACACUGAUUAUAAUUAGAUGGAGUAAAGGGAAGAGGAUGAUGUUUUCUCUUUCUCCCUCAUUAGGGCUAACUGGCUGAGCUAGUUUUAUUGCUAUCUUAAAGGCAGUAAAAAAGGUCAUGUGACUGUUUCCCAAAUGAAUUGUUUUGAAAAAUGCUGUUGUCUUUUUAUGGACACAUCCAUCCCUGGGAUGUAUAAACAGUUCUUAUUAAAAUUAAAAGUGUGGAAUUUGUCUUUGUUAGCAGUCAAAAUGGGCCGUUUAUUUAGUUGAAUCCCACCCAUCCAGCUCUUGAACUGUGAGGAUUCAGAUCAAAUAGAUCCCUGCUCAUAACUACUGAGUCUAAUUUUGCAGAAACCUGGACUACAAGAGUUGGAAAGAUCAAAAACAAACUCAGCUUCCCCCCCUCUUACCUUUACUUAAUCAUCAUUGCCCUAAACUACUAUCAUCUACUUAAAUUUCCCCACAUCAGAUCUUAGGAACCACAACCUGAAACAUUCCAGCUUGGUGUCAAUUUUGCAAAACAAAACCACAGCCAGCAAGACUUUGUGAAACUGAAAAACUGCCUGAAGUUUUGUGUUUAGCUGACAAGAAUGAAAGUGUCUGUCUAAUGAUUCAUUACUGCAUUAAGCAAAAGGCAUACAGCUCAAAGAAAGCAAAUAGACGGUCACACUGACCCCAGUUUCAGAAAUUUAAAAUGCCACUUCACCAAUUCAUUUGUCUCUAUGUUAUCUCUGUAAGAAGCUAACCUUGUUUUGUAAGUAUAUUUGUAAUCUACUUAAUUAUAGGUUUAUAAAUA